rnacentral:snRNA from 1 species
UUGACAACACAUAUUCUAAAAUUAGCAUGGUCCCUGCACAAAUUGAUGGCAUACAAAUUCACAAAAUAUCCCAUAUUUUU